CCCAUGGCGUAGUGGUCACUGCGCUCGCCUUGCACGCGGGAGACCCGGGUUCGUUUCCCGGCGGG
rnacentral:tRNA from 1 species